CCUACGGGAGGCAGCAGUGGGGAAUAUUGCACAAUGGGCGCAAGCCUGAUGCAGCCAUGCCGCGUGUAUGAAGAAGGCCUUCGGGUUGUAAAGUACUUUCAGUCGUGAGGAAGGUGUUAAGGUUAAUAACCUUAGCAAUUGACGUUAGCGACAGAAGAAGCACCGGCUAACUCCGUGCCAGCAGCCGCGGUAAUACGGAGGGUGCGAGCGUUAAUCGGAAUUACUGGGCGUAAAGGGCACGCAGGCGGUUAAAUAAGUUUGAAGGGAAAUCCCCGGGGUUUACCUUGGAAUUGGAUUCAAGACUUGGUAGGCAGAGGUUUGGAGAGGGGGGGUGAAAUCCAUUUUGAGCCGUUAAAUUGGGAGAGAAUUGGGGGAAUACCGGUGGCGAAGGCGGCCCCCUGGACAAAGACUGACGCUCAUGUGCGAAAGCGUGGGGAGCAAACAGGAUUAGAUACCCGUGUAGUC
rnacentral:rRNA from 1 species